CUGAAAAGCCUGGAUACAGUGGACAUGGAGAGGAUGUUUCCAUUAGACGGAGAGUCUGUGAUCUGACAGCACAGUCUCAGAAUAAAGAUGCUUCCCCUUAAAACUCAGAUGAGAAACAUUUAUGGCCAGAAGAUGUCUGAUCUGUGGAAUUUGUUGCCACAGAGUUGGUUGAAGCUGCCAUUUGGGUAUACAUAUGACAGAGAUUAACAUAUUGAUGAUUGCUGAGCAGCUCAGGGUUACAGGAGGAAGGCAGGAAUGUGGUGUUGGAAUGAAAAUCAGCCAUGGUUAAAUGGUGGGGCAGACCAGUUGGACCAAAUCACCUGAUUCUGUUCCUGUGUCUUGUGUCUUACCGUGACUGGAUGAUGGAUCCUUCUUAUCCCGUAUCGUCUGUGAGAUGUGAGGGACAAUAAAAGAUUGUUUACUGAGGUCAUUACAUCUGCCUUCAGUGUUUAAAUCUCAGUGAGUUUUGUUCUUAGUAACAUUACACAGAAAUGUUUAGUUCUCCUUUUCAUUAUUAAUGUGCUUCAUUGUCUCUCUGGUUAAAGUUAGACCUGUGGUGAGAGAUUUAUUUGAAGAAAAACCCCAACUGGAGGCAAACCACGACUGAAGACGAGGGAGCAGCAACAAGUGAACCAGCCCGAGGACUGAGAGCACCGACUGGAGAGAACCCAUCUGACUCGGAGAUUCCAGUGAUUCAGUCAGCAGAAAGUUUGGUUAAAUUUGACAAGGAAUUCUUCUGUGGGAAUUAAAACACAACAAACCAGUUGUGCUGUCUCUGUCUGGAUAUUUAAGAAGUGGAGCAAGGGAUCCAAUCAACCAUCCUUCCUGGUCAGACUGUGGGGAGAGAUUCACUGGGUCAUCUGACUGACUGGCACACACAUCAUUUUACAUAGAGGAGAGGCCAUUAAACUGCUCAGACAACAGGAAUGAAUUCACUCAGUCAUCUCAUCUGAAGGUACAUCAGCGAGUUCACACUGGGCAAGGCCAUUCACCGGUACUGCGUGUGGGAAGGGAUUCAGGCUGUCUUCCCACCUGUGGACACACCAGUUAGUUACACUGACAGAGGUUGGUCAUCUGCUGAACUUGUGGAGAAGGAUUUAUUCGGUCAUCUAACGUAAUGGCUCACCAGCAAGUUCAAAGUGGGGACCGGCUGUUCACCUGCUCGGACUGUGAGAAGAGAUUCACUCACUCUUCCACCCUAUGGAGACACCAGCGAGUUCACACUGGGGAAAAGCCGUUUACCUGCUCAGAAUGUGGGAAGAGAUUCACUGAGUCAUCCACCCUACUGGUACAUCAGAGAGUUCACACUGGAGAGAAGCCGUUCACCUGCUAAGAAUGUGGGAAGAGAUUCACUGAGUCAUCCAAUCUACAGAAGCACCAGUGAGUUCAUACCAGGAAGAAGCCGUUUACCUGGUCAGGCUGUGGAAAGGGAUUCACUUCAUCAUCUAAUCUACUGACAUACCACCGAGUUCACACUGGAGAGAGACCAUUCACCUGCUCAGACUGUGGUAAGGGAUUCACUCAGUCAUCCAAACUAUAGAGUCAUCAGCGAGUUCACACUGGGGAAAAGCCAUUCACCUGCUCAGACUGUGGGAAGGAAUUCAUUCAAUCAUCCAAUCUACAGAGUCAUCAGAGAGUUCACACUGGGGAGAAGCCGUUCACUUGCUGUGAAUGUGGGAAGGCAUUUUCGUCAUCUCAUCUACUGAAACACCAGCAAUUUCACACUGGUUAGAGGCCGAUCACCUGCUCAGACAUUGGGAAGAGAUUAUCUCAGUCAUCUCCACCAAAUGUGCAUCACUCAGUUCACACUGGGGAGUGACUGUUCACCUGCUGUGAGUGUGGAAGGGAUUCUCUCAGUAAUUAACCUUGUGGUUCACAAUAGGGAGAAAGUUUCAGUAAGCUGCAUACUGGAUAUUUGUCCAUCCCCAUUGCUGAAUGCAAUUUCGAGAGUGACUGUCGGUGCUGAACUCUGCAAUUAUUGCUGCUGCUCACCACACCCAGUUCUGCACCCUGGUCACCAGGCAUGGGUGGAGUUUCUUCUACUGCAUAUUCACCUUUAAUGGGACUGGAGUUUAAUAUUCUGGCUCUGAGACAAAUAAAUCAGUUCUAUUUUGAACUCUGUCUUCAGAAUCUGUUGAAUUUAUAACACUGCUAAUGUAUAGUAGAGGGUCAACUCAGGCCAGCUGGACCCUGCCAGUUAUACUGUUCCAGGUCAAUCCUUUUAAAUCCUCCCCUGUUGUUCACCUCGCUCUGCCAGUGGUGAUGGGUUCCAAGCAGUCACUAUCCUGUGGGUGAAGAGGUGUCCCUUGAAUUUCCUGCAGACUGAAGAAGUCGAGCUGACUGCAGUCCUGCCUGAGAUGUUCUUCGCCCCUCAAAUCUCUGGGCUGAGGAAGAAUGACAUUGGUAGUUAACCUCCUUAUUCAUGGCUCAUUUCCACAUUAUGGGUCAUUUUCCCUGCUUCUGAAGGGUUAUGAAAGCACUCUGUCCCCUAAAGACUGAAAGCGGAAUGGGGAACCAUCUGUCGGAUGUUCAACGGAGCAGGGUCAGAAACCAGAGGCAAAUCGGCACAGGGCAGAGUUUGGGGCUCGGCGAUGAUCAGGGUAAAAACGUAUGAUGAGGAGAAGGGAAUCAGCAGCGGAGCGUGGCAACGAAUGACGGAGUAGCAAGAUUUGGAAGCUGAUUGACAGAGAAAAUAAUUUGGUUGACUGAUGACACAAACAAUACCUGUGGUGAGGUGCUCCACGUGUCGAGGAACGUGUGUGUUGGGAACGGUUUUAUCUAUUGGGGGGAGUUGUUCCUGCUUGUUUAUCCUGUAAUGUUAUAUCUGGAUGGUUAUUAUGAGUUGUCCUGUCUGAAAUAAUGCAUUGAUUAUCAUGUAAUUUGUAAGAUUUUGACUCUAAAACUGGAUCACGCUUGAAUUUAUGGUGGCUUUUUGAAGUGAUGGAGGUCAUUCAUCAGUUUGUAUUUUAAAGCAAUAUGUUGGUGAACGAUAUUUGCCACUUGAUUGUACUUUUGUAAGUAAUUCGAUUGAGUUAAACUGCUGCAGGAUCCUGGAUUGUGUUGGAUUGUGUCUGGUUUCACUUGGCAUUUUGUGCACUUACUGCCUUGUUUGUUUGUAUCUGAUGUAUUUUUGAUUUUUUUUUACAUUUUGUUAACCACCUCGUCCUGUAUUUAUGCAAGGAACCCCUCUGUUUCUGGGAAGAGGUCUCCAACUCUCAGUCAGGUUCUCGAUGCUUCCCUGUCACCGUCUAGUCUGCUCAGAUCGUUGGGAUGUCUCCCAUGGAUGGUCAUACUCAUUCAACUGGUUAAUGUUUUCUUCCAGAGUGAAGACUCAUUUUUCUGAGUUGGCCUCUCAUUUAAGUUUUCUGGUCUGUAUUUCUUAUUACGAUUGCAUAUCCACACAUGAAGUGCUGAAUCCAGUUCAUGUUUGUUGAAAAAAAAUACUUAGAAGUUUCAUCUGACUGUUCUGUGAUUUUUUUUCAAGUGUAUGAUUUCCCUCCCUCCUGUCCAAAGUCUAAGUGGGUUUGAGUGUAAAUAGUCCUUUCUAAAGUUGCUAUUUAUCUUUGUAAAGUUGCUAAUUGAAAUAGGACCAAGAUAUUUUUAUUAAAGAAAAAUCAAUGUUGGUAUUGA